UGGGGAAUUUUGGACAAUGGGCGAAAGCCUGAUCCAGCCAUGCCGCGUGAGUGAAGAAGGCCUUCGGGUUGUAAAGCUCUUUUAGUCGGAAAGAAAGAGUUGCAAUGAAUAAUUGUGAUUUAUGACGGUACCGACAGAAAAAGCACCGGCUAACUACGUGCCAGCAGCCGCGGUGAUACGUAGGGUGCAAGCGUUGUCCGGAAUUAUUGGGCGUAAAGAGCUCGUAGGCGGUUUGUCGCGUCUGCUGUGAAAACCCGAGGCUCAACCUCGGGCCUGCAGUGGGUACGGGCAAACUAGAGUGCGGUAGGGGAGAUUGGAAUUCCUGGUGUAGCGGUGGAAUGCGCAGAUAUCAGGAGGAACACCGAUGGCGAAGGCAGAUCUCUGGGCCGUAACUGACGCUGAGGAGCGAAAGCAUGGGGAGCGAACA
rnacentral:rRNA from 1 species